rnacentral:rRNA from 1 species
UGGGGAAUAUUGGACAAUGGGCGCAAGCCUGAUCCAGCCAUGCCGCGUGAGUGAAGAAGGCCCUAGGGUUGUAAAGCUCUUUCGCCGGGGACGAUAAUGACGGUACCCGGAGAAGAAGCCCCGGCUAACUCCGUGCCAGCAGCCGCGGUAAGACGGAGGGGGCUAGCGUUGUUCGGAAUUACUGGGCGUAAAGCGCACGUAGGCGGUGGUUCAAGUUGGGGGUGAAAUCCCGGGGCUCAACCCCGGAAUUGCCUCCAAGACUGGAUUGCUGGAGUCCGGAAGAGGAGAGCGGAAUUCCCAGUGUAGAGGUGAAAUUCGUAGAUAUUGGGAAGAACACCAGUGGCGAAGGCGGCUCUCUGGUCCGGGACUGACGCUGAGGUGCGAAAGCGUGGGGAGCAAACAGG